CCCUGCCACUAAUACCUACCCACUUCCUCCACACCUUAGGGACCUGAUCACAUUAUGGGUUUUUAUGGACACAACAGAGGUCCAAUCCAGUGUGGGUAAAAAUUUUUUUUAAAUGUGAUUAUUUUCAUUUAAGAUAAAAUUCAGGUUUAUUUAAAACUAAAUUGAUUAAAAAUCAUAAUUGAAAAUCUUAGUGCCUAGGUCAGGGCCUAAACUAUCUAUAAUCUAGUCAAAUAAUUAAACUUAAUACAGAAAAUGAGCAGGACAGGUUUGCUGUCAAGUGUUAAAAGAAAGUCAAACCAGAGAAGUGGUGGAAUUCCCUUGGCAAAACACCUGGUCCAACUGUGGAACGGCUAACCUCACUUUUGCCAGCAGUAGUCUCUUCUCUUUAACCUGCAGAAUAGUUUCCUCAUUUCAGUUUAUUCAAAUAUUCAAUGACUAGCUCCUUCAGAUUUAAGAAACUUAUUAGGA